UGGCCGGGCAAAUCUCCGGGUAAAUCGGGCCGCCCAACGGUCCGAAUUCCGGAGACACUGCUCGGCUUGGGAUCGGGAGAGGGUGAAGGUACUCCCGGGGUAGGGGUAAAGUCCUGUAAUCCUGGGGGGACCACCAGUGGCGAAGGCGUUCACCUAGAACGAAUCCGACAGUGAGGGACGAAGCCCUAGGGCGCAAACGGGAUUAGAUACCCCGGUAGUCUAGGGUGUAAACUCUGCAGACUUGGUGUUGGGGGUCCUGCGUGGGCUCCCAGUGCCGGAGCGAAGGUGUUAAGUCUGCCGCUUGGGGAGUAUGGUCGCAAGACUGAAACUUAAAGGAAUUGGCGGGAGAGCACCGCAACGGGAGGAGCGUGCGGUUCAAUUGGAUUCAACGCCGGGAAACUCACCGGGGGCGACGGAGGGAUGAAAGCCAGGCCGAAGACCUUGCCCGAUUCUCCGAGAGGUGGUGCAUGGCCGUCGUCAGUUCGUACCGUAAGGCGUUCUGUUAAGUCAGAUAACGAACGAGACCCUCGCCCUUAGUCGCGAUUUCACGAGCGAUCGUGAGAGCACACUAGGGGGAUCGCUGCCGCUAAGGCUGAGGAA
rnacentral:rRNA from 1 species